AUUACUUCUAAGCUUUUUUGCUGAGAUCAAAUGUAGUAUCUGUUCCUAUAAGUUUAAAAUAUUAUUUGCUAGUACUAAAUUUGAUUCUCU
rnacentral:snRNA from 1 species